AAGAAAUAUGACCUUUCGAGCGUUUUUUCCGGGCUAAACGACGUGUAUUCCCUUAGGCCGGGAAAUAAUGUACGCGGAAUUUCGUGAUUUUUUCUCUUAUGACACUCAUCUGAAUAUCGCAAAUAUUGACACGAAAAUCGCCAGAUUGUUUUUGAAACCGUAAAGCGUCUGGACAAGUCCGAUGCAAAUGUAUUCGGUAAAAAUUCCGUGUGCUAUCAAUGAAAACCGGAGAAAAAUUGCCGGCAGAGAGUAUGCCAAGAGAAAAACGUCGUAGACAUGAUUGCAAAACCAUAGGCUCCGUCGCUCCGUCCAGUAUCUAAACGAACACGUGUCGCGGUCAAACUAACACGUCGGAAUUCCAGAAUCUGAAACUAAAUAACUAUCAGUUAUCAUUUAUUGAUCGUUAACGAAUUAAUUCAUAAUUUCCAUUGUGUGCGCAGUAUCCGAUACUAUCCGAUAUUAAUCGAUUAAUCGUUCGCACAGGAAUUUUUUAUUUUUUUUUAUUUCAAACGGUUAAUACGAUCUGGUCGUUAAUGGUUCAAUCGAUAACGCUGACUGGCGCGGCAUAGUUUUUGGGACGAGACCAAUUGAAUAGUAUCGGUGACCGUAUUUUAGUGGUGCAAAGAAAAAUAUAGCCGAAUCGAUUUUUUAUUUU